GAAGAACCUUACCUACCCUUGACAUGUCUGGAAUCCCGAAGAGAUUUGGGAGUGCUCGAAAGAGAACCGGAACACAGGUGCUGCAUGGCCGUCGUCAGCUCGUGUCGUGAGAUGUUGGGUUAAGUCCCGCAACGAGCGCAACCCUUGUCAUUAGUUGCUACGAAAGGGCACUCUAAUGAGACUGCCGGUGACAAACCGGAGGAAGGUGGGGAUGACGUCAGGUCCUCAUGGCCCUUAUGGGUAGGGCUUCACACGUCAUACAAUGGUCGGGACAGAGGGCAGCCAACCCGCGAGGGGGAGCCAAUCCCAGAAACCCGAUCGUAGUCCGGAUUGCAGUCUGCAACUCGACUGCAUGAAGUCGGAAUCGCUAGUAAUCG
rnacentral:rRNA from 1 species